rnacentral:rRNA from 1 species
UACGUAGGGGGCAAGCGUUGUCCGGAUUUAUUGGGCGUAAAGAGCGUGUAGGCGGUUCGGUAGGUCCGUUGUGAAAACUCGAGGCUCAACCUCGAGACGCCGAUGGAAACCGCCGAACUAGAGUCCGGAAGAGGAGAAUGGAAUUCCUGGUGUAGCGGUGAAAUGCGCAGAUAUCAGGAAGAACACCCGUGGCUAAGGCGGUUCUCUAGUACGGUACUGACGCUGAGACGCGAAAGCGUGGGGAGCGAACAGG